rnacentral:rRNA from 1 species
GCCGGUAUGAGUAGCGAGAGGCAUGCGAGAAACAUGCCCGUCGAAAGCCCAAGGUUUCCUGGGGAAGGUUCAUCCGCCCAGGGUAAGUCGGGGCCUAAGCCGAGGACGGAAGUCGUAGGCGAUGGACAGCAGGUGUAGAUUCCUGCACUACCGAUGGAAUGAAGCAGUGACACAGAAGGAUAACUCGAGCAGGGUGAUGGUCAACCCUGUGCAAGCAUUGAGGUUGGGUUGUAGUGAAGUACGCAAUCCUAUAAGCUGAGAUGUGAUGCGGACCGAAAUUUCAGUGGGGAAGCGAGUGAGUUCACGCUGGCGAGAAAAGCUGCUAGUACAUCCAAAGGUACCCGUACCGGAAACCGACGCAGGUGGGCGAGGAGAGAAUCCUGAGACGAACGGGAGAACCCUUGUUAAGGAACUCGGCAAAAUGACCCCGUAACUUCGGGAUAAGGGGUGCCUGCGAGAGCAGGCCGCAGAGAAUAGUCACAAGCGACUGUUUAGCAAAAACACAGGUAUCUGCGAAAGCGAGAGCUGACGUAUAGGUGCUGACACCUGCCCGGUGCUGGAAGGUUAAGGGAACAUGUUAGAGCAAUCGAAGCAUCGAACCGAAGCCCCAGUAAACGGCGGCCGUAACGAUAACGGUCCUAAGGUAGCGAAAUUCCUUGUCGGGUAAGUUCCGACCCGCACGAAUGGUGUAACGACUUGUGAGCUGUCUCAACAGGGGGCCCGGUGAAAUUGAAGUAUGGGUGAAGAUGCCCAUUACCCGCGACCGGACGGAAAGACCCCGUAGAGCUUUACUGCAGCCUGAUAUUGAGUUUCGGUAACUGAUGCACAGGAUAGGUGGGAGUCUGAGAGACAUGGGUUUCGGCUCAUGUGGAGACGGUGUUGGGAUACCACUCUUCGAUUACUGAAAUUCUAACAUAGCUCUGUGAAACCAGAGGAUGGACAGUGUCAGGUGGACAGUUUGACUGGGGCGGUCGCCUCCGAAAGAGUAACGGAGGCGCCCAAAGGUACCCUCAGAAUGGAUGGAAACCAUUCGAAGAGCGCAAAGGCAGAAGGGUGCCUGACUGCGAGAUUGACAAAUCGAGCAGAGACGAAAGUCGGGCUUAGUGAUCCGGCGGUAUUGAGUGGAAAAGCCGUCGCUUAACGGAUAAAAGCUACCUCGGGGAUAACAGGCUGAUCUCCCCCAAGAGUCCACAUCGACGGGGAGGUUUGGCACCUCGAUGUCGGCUCGUCGCAUCCUGGGGCUGAAGCAGGUCCCAAGGGUUUGGCUGCUCGCCAAUUAAAGCGGCACGCGAGCUGGGUUCAGAACGUCGUGAGACAGUUCGGUCCCUAUCCAUCGUGGGCGUAGGAGUCAUGAGAGGAGCUGUUCCUAGUACGAGAGGACCGGAAUGGACGCACCACUGGUGCAACUGUUAUCGUGCCAACGGCAUAGCAGGGAAGCGAAGUGCGGAUGGGAUAAACGCUGAAGGCAUCUAAGCGUGAAGCCCACCUCAAGAAUAAGACUCCACAAUAGACCCCUGGAGGACUACCAGGUAGAUAGGUCAUCGGUGGAAGCGCUGUAA